UGCACGGGUGGCAGAAAGGUCAUGCAGUCGGCUGCAACCCGACGUAACGGGGUUCAAUUCCCUGCCCCGCAG
rnacentral:tRNA from 1 species